rnacentral:rRNA from 1 species
AACGUACGCUGGCGGCACGCCUAACACAUGCAAGUCGAACGCAGUAGCAAUACUGAGUGGCGAACGGGUGAGUAUAAUGUAGGUAUCUGCCUUUUGGUUUGGAAUAACACGAGGAAACUUGUGCUAAUACCGGAUAAGCCUUCACAGGGAAAGUUUUAACGCCAAAAGAUGAGCCUGCACUUGAUUAGCUAGUUGGUAAGGUAAUGGCUUACCAAGGCUACGAUCAAUAGCUGAUCUGAGAGGAUGAUCAGCCACAUUGGGACUGAGACACGGCCCAAACUCCUACGGGAGGCAGCAGUGGGGAAUUUUGCACAAUGGGGGAAACCCUGAUGCAGCGAUGCCGCGUGAGUGAAGAAGGCCUUUGGGUUGUAAAGCUCUUUCGUCGGGGAAGAAAAUGACUGUACCCGAAUAAGAAGGUCCGGCUAACUUCGUGCCAGCAGCCGCGGUAAUACGGAGGGACCUAGCGUAGUUCGGAAUUACUGGGCUUAAAGAGCUCGUAGGUGGUUAGAAAAGUUGGUGGUGAAAUCCCAAGGCUUAACCUUGGAACUGCCACUAAAACUUUUUGACUAGAGUAUGAUAGAGGAAAGUGGAAUUUCUAGUGUAGAGGUGAAAUUCGUAGAUAUUAGAAAGAACACCAAUUGCGAAGGCAACUUUCUGGAUCAUUACUGACACUGAGGAGCGAAAGCAUGGGUAGCGAAGAGGAUUAGAUACCCUCGUAGUCCAUGCCGUAAACGAUGUGUGCUAGACGUUGGAAAUUUAGUUUUCAGUGUCGCAGCGAAAGCGUUAAGCACACCGCCUGGGGAGUACGACCGCAAGGUUAAAACUCAAAUGAAUUGACGGGGACCCGCACAAGUAGUGGAGCAUGUGGUUUAAUU